UGUGUUGAUGAAUUCUCUUUUAUAACAUCUCUGCUAGGAGGGAAGAAAAAGAGGCCUCAAGAUGCUUGUUUUAUGCAAAAGAGACGGAAGGGCAAAUGUCCCCCGAAGUAAAUGCAUGUAUCAGCUGAGGGCCUGGGAAAUGUAAUUUUCUCCACGUGAUGAGCCUGAGUGACUGGAUCAUGCGUCUCGAAUGGCCCUCCUCCAAACUGUGGGAUGAGAGACCAUGAAAUAUGCAUUUGAAUAUCAGGGUUCACUGCUGCAGAACGCCAGGGGCGGAACAAGAGCCAAGAGCCUACCUAGGCUUCUCCCAUCAGGUUUGGUUAUGGGGUCUUCCCCCUGCGGAUGCUGCUCUUAGGAAACAAGUGAUGCAUCGUGUUCACUCCUCAGGGGAGACUCCUGAAGAAAUAGCUGGAGGAGACAUGUGUUAAUCGCUGAGAGUAACUGCCGGGACAAAGGAGUCAUUCUGUCCUGUGCUCCACUGCCUGUGUCUGGACACACCGAAUACCUCAGAGGCUAGCCAGGGUGCCAGCCUCUGUGUAGCCCUGGAGGAUAUGAGAACAGUUAAAUACGGUGCCUGCCGAAUUCAUCUCAGGGCAUUCCCUUUGACUUCGGUUUGGGUGGUGAGGAGAACUAAGACCUCCCGACUACCUAACAGUCGCCUCUUGUUCCAGGAGUUGGCAUCAGUGAGGGGCAAUGUCUUGCAUGUGUCCUCUCUCCCAGAGACAAGGACUGGUCAGGCUUGAAAAACCCACGAAUCCUUGACUUUAAUGGUAGAGCCUCUGAGUCUUUGCAAAGCCCUUUGGACCUUGCCUCCCCUUCCCUCUCCCCUCCCCCUUCUGUCUCUUCUUCCCCUACCCCUACCCCUCCGUCGCCUCCAGGUCAUUCUAUCACAUGCCCCACUGCAUAAGUCUGGACACACAGACUCCUGCAGUGGCUAGCCAGGGUACCAACUUCUGUAUAACUCCCCUUCCGUCUCUCCCUCUCUCCCUCCCUCUCCCUCUCGUCCUUCCUCUUCCUGUUUCUCCCUGUUCUUCUUUUUCUUCCACCCUCUUUCAGUCUCUCUGCCCCUCUUCUCUCUGUUUUUAGCCCUGUUGGAUCUGAAGCAAGUGACACUUGUGAAACGCAUACACACACAGACAUGCACACACACACACACACACAGACACACACACACACAUGCACACAUGCAGGCAUACACACACACAGACAUGCACACACAUGCACACAUGCAGGCAUGCGUGUACACACACACACACACACACACACACACACAUACACACACACACACACACACACACAGACACACGUUCAAGCCAAUAGGGAAAUGAAGCAGACGAGGGAUCAUUAGAGCUUCAGUCAGGCCUCAGGCCUCAGGCCUACAAAUCAGAGGCCAUGCCCUCCCCACUGUCCCUUCAGGCUGCUCUAGAAAUGCCUUUGUUCUAUGGCAGAGAUGAAAUUCAAGAUGUCGGUGCAGACCUGGAGACAGGAGUCAAGGGGCUCUUUGGGUUGCAUGGUUUUAACCAUGGACUGGCGAUUUGAAGUCUUCUCAUUCGUCCGAAUUACCCAGGAAAUGUUCACGUGUACGAAGCAAGAGUGAUGUCCUGGUCCACUUACAGAACGUCUCUCUGCUGUCCCGUCUUCCCUCCUACUCCUGUAAACAAACUGUCCUUGCUCUAGGCCUUGGUUGUGAAUCAGGGGUAGAACAAGCUUAGGAUGCAGGCGUCCCUGGGUUCAAUCUCUAACAAUCUCUAACAAUGUGCCCUCCUCUCCUCUCUGUCCCCUCUAAUUUGUUCAUUUACCAAUAAACAAACACAACUGUCCCUGCUGUAUCUGAACAAAAUGGCACUUGUGGACACAGUCUCAUUCCUGACUCAAGAACAUCGUUCUACAAAAGUCCUUCCCUCUCCUCUACCAGUUUACCUCAGGAUUACACAGCAGCCAUCAAAGGGCCUGCACAAUGGUUCAGCAGACAGAGGGAUUCCAGCAAAGCCUAGUAACUUGUAUUUGAUACCCAGAAUCUACAUAGUAGGAGACAGUCUCCAGGUAGUUGUCCUCUGACUUUUCACCCAUGCCCCCUUCCUCCAAAAAACAUAAAUGUAGUGAAGAAUUGUAAUGGUUUGUCGCCGCUAACUGUUCCAAAGUAAAUCUAGAGCGAGGCAUGGUGUCACAGGCCUGUAGUCCCAGAAGUAGAGAGGCAGAGGCAGGGAGAUCAAGAGUUCAAGGCCAUUGGUGAUGUAGGAGUUUGGGGACAAGUGAGACCCUGAAAAAUAAAGGUCAAAUCCAAAGCAAGACAAAGGAUACCCUUAGACCUAUCUCUAGCUGUUUCUCGUCUCCCAUUGGUCCUUCACAAUACAAUCAGGCAAACCAAGUUUCUCCUAGUCCAUUUUCCACUUCUACAUUCUCUGUCUAACCCACUCCUAUCACGGGGGCGAAGGACAGCCAGUGACCUCUGUGUCUUUAAAACUAGUGAUCUGUUCUUGAGCUUUAAGUGUAGUUCAUCUUUCCUUCCUUCUUAAAAUAUUUUCUCUUUUCUCUCAGCAUUCUUCCGAUCUGAUUCAAUCUUACGGGCUUUUCAGGGAACAGCGGAUGCCAGCUACUUAGCCCAGCGGACAGCUUACCAAGUAAAAAGCCAAGCUCAAGGCACUGCCAGGAAACUCAAGAACGGGCCAAAGAUGCUAUCACUCCUGGUAACUUUGUUUUAGAGAUUAAAUGAAGCAGUGAGAUAUAAGAAAAAUAAAUAAUAGCUAUGGCUACUAA